rnacentral:rRNA from 2 species
UCAGGACGANCGCNGGNGGCGUNCNNAAUACAUGCAAGUCGAGCGGACUUAAAAAGCNUGCUUUUAAGUUANNGGCGGACGGGNGAGUAACACGUGGGCAACCUGCCUGUAAGACUGGGAUAACUUCGGGAAACCGGAGCUAAUACCGGAUAAUCCUUUCCUACUCAUGUAGGAAAGCUGAAAGACGGUUUACGCUGUCACUUACAGAUGGGCCCGCGGCGCAUUAGCUAGUUGGUGAGGUAACGGCUCACCAAGGCGACGAUGCGUAGCCGACCUGAGAGGGUGAUCGGCCACACUGGGACUGAGACACGGCCCAGACUCCUACGGGAGGCAGCAGUAGGGAAUCUUCCGCAAUGGACGAAAGUCUGACGGAGCAACGCCGCGUGAGUGAUGAAGGUUUUCGGAUCGUAAAACUCUGUUGUUAGGGAAGAACAAGUACGAGAGUAACUGCUCGUACCUUGACGGUACCUAACCAGAAAGCCACGGCUAACUACGUGCCAGCAGCCGCGGUAAUACGUAGGUGGCAAGCGUUGUCCGGAAUUAUUGGGCGUAAAGCGCGCGCAGGCGGUCCUUUAAGUCUGAUGUGAAAGCCCACGGCUCAACCGUGGAGGGUCAUUGGAAACUGGGGGACUUGAGUGCAGAAGAGAAGAGUGGAAUUCCACGUGUAGCGGUGAAAUGCGUAGAGAUGUGGAGGAACACCAGUGGCGAAGGCGACUCUUUGGUCUGUAACNGACGCUGAGGCGCGAAAG